CUUUCUUUCCAUCUUCACUAACAACAAGAUUUAUUGAGCAGCGUAGAACUUCGGCAAGCUGAGCAUGACUACCUAUUAGAGCUUUAAUCUUCUUGAAUGAUGCAACCACUGAUAUUGGUACAUACCCCUCUGGAUCCUUGAUCAUAUGCCUUAUCAAAUUUUCGGUCGUUGCCAAAUUUAGAUCGCUGAAAUAGAACUCCACCUGAUUAACGAUUUUCUGAGCAGCUUCUUCAGUUAACCCACCAUUCUUAGCUGAAAUAUCGGCAUCAGCAGUAGUAGCGGCAGCAACCUCUUGAUCAACAAAUCUUCUAGCAACACCACCACCGCCAUAGUAAGGCGACUGAGGAGACUGUAGUGACAAUUGAGGGGCAUAAAGGAACUGAUUCUGUAUGGCAAUAUGAGUUGUGAUCUGAUGAAGCGGAGCAGCACGAGUAGCAUAGACACGUCCAGAAGAUGUUCUAGGAAGGAAAGCAGGAGCUUGAGCGUUAAGUUUGCUUGUAUUAGAAGAAGAGGAAUCGAUAUUGUAAGUGAGAGAUGCAGAAG
rnacentral:misc_RNA from 1 species